GUUGUGGAAGCAAUUUAACACUGAGACUGAAUACAUUGUUACACAAGCCAUUGCUGCUCAGGCACGUUAUCUUACAUCUUGCACAUAACUUUGUGCUUUUUAGGACUUCAUUCCUUUUAUAUUUAAUUUUUACGAACGGACAGACAUAUAGUAAUAUUUUAUAUAUUAUUAAUUUUGCACCUUCUUAACUAAAGCUCACACGUUAAUUGCACUUUGCACUUAAAGUCCCAAUCAACCUUGGUUCUUCUUUUAUGAUUUUCACCUUUGACAACACUUUUCAGUACCUUUGAAUCAGACAAAUUUAAAGGUAUGAUUCACGUUAAUCUGUAGCUCUAUAAUUUGAUUCCAACGAUUCUCUGAGCCUUUUAAUUGUAUGUUAACAUAGCACUUUUUCUUAACAUCUGCCGUGACAUCUCUAUUUGAUAUAUCCAUCAGGACAAAAAAUUUCUCUUCAGGGUUGUAAUAUUUGUAGACUCCUUUGUUAGCUUCUGACCAUCAGGUUUUUUUUUAACUUUAGGAGGCUAGCAGGAGAAAUAACAAUUGGCUGCCACCUCCAUGGGCAGUUGUCGCGUUGCUUAUUCUGGGGUUCAAUGAAUUCAUGACACUGUUGAGGUACCAUUUCCUACUUAUGGAUCAUGAGUGGGUUUGGAUUGCGCGAGUCAAAACAGUUUUAAAAAGUAUGGCUGUAACCAACUCGUUUAAUAUUUGCUUGGGUAAACAUGAGUUGGGUCAAAUAUAUGUUCAAUAGCAGGUCAUAAUCCAAC
rnacentral:lncRNA from 1 species